rnacentral:sRNA from 1 species
CAGCUUCGAUCUGCUCCGGGGAGAUGAAGUGGAUGUGAGUGUCAAUGCCACCCGCAGUGAGCACCUUGCCCUCGCCGGCAAUGAUGUCGGUGGAGACACCGAUUGGGAUUGUCCCCCCAUCCAUGGUGUCGGGGUUACCCGCAUGACCGAUCCCGGUGAUAAUACCGUCGCGGAUUCCGAUGUCCGCCUUGUAGAUUCCCGACCAAUCCAGGACGAUCACGUUGGUGAUCACCGUGUCGGGAAUGUCCGGAUCCUCUUCUCUCGUCCGGUGCCCGUUCUGGCCCAUCCCGACGCGCAC